rnacentral:rRNA from 1 species
CCUAGUAACGGCGAGUGAACCGGGAAGAGCUCAAAUUUGAAAUCUGGCAGUCUUCGAUUGUCCGAGUUGUAAUCUAUAGAAGCGUUUUCCGUGCUGAACUGUGUAUAAGUCCCUUGGAACAGGGUAUCAAAGAGGGUGACAAUCCCGUACUUUACACAAUCAUCAGUGCUCUGUGAUACGUUCUCUACGAGUCGAGUUGUUUGGGAAUGCAGCUCAAAAUGGGUGGUAAAUUCCAUCUAAAGCUAAAUAUUGGCGAGAGACCGAUAGCGAACAAGUACCGUGAGGGAAAGAUGAAAAGCACUUUGGAAAGAGAGUUAAACAGUACGUGAAAUUGUUGAAAGGGAAACGAAAUUCAUGAAUCAUGUUUAUUGGACUCAGCCGUUCUUCGGUGUACUUCCUUUAAACGGGUCAACAUCAGUUUUGUCCGAUGGAUAAAGGUAGUAGGAAGGUGGCUCUCUCGGGAGUGUUAUAGCCUAUUGCUGCAUACAUUGGAUGAGACUGAGGACUGCAGCUUGCCUUUAUGGCCGGGGUUCGCCCACGUUCAAGCUUAGGAUGUUGACAUAUUCUCGAA